AAGUUUUUGGACAACAAUGGAGCCAUGGCACAGAGAGAUAAGAUAUAUCAGGCUUUGGCACAGACAAAACAUAUUGGAAGGAUUUGGUCAUUGAUGCUUUUGGUAUUUCCAUGGUAUUUUUUUGACAAGGAACUUCUAAAAUAUUACCAGCCUUGUUUUAAUCAUUUAAAGUCCAUAUGGGAACUAUUCUGACUUAGCCAACCCCUAGUUCUAGUGUAUAAAAAGACACCAUAAAAGAUGGCAGUGAAUUCUACUGUAAUACUUAAAAUAGUUGCACACUGUCUAGAUAAUAAAAUGCUAUACUGGGAUUGCACAAUCACAAAACAUGUUAUUUUUAUAUCUGCAAAUAAAAAGAUAUACAGCAAGUAAGGCAUGAAUAAGUUUAUAAGUAAAAGCUGCAUUGAAUCAA